rnacentral:rRNA from 1 species
UACAGAGGUCCCGAGCGUUGUUCGGAUUCACUGGGCGUAAAGGGUGCGUAGGUGGCAUGGUAAGUUUGAUGUGAAAGCUCAGGGCUCAACCCUGAAAUGGCAUUGAAUACUACUGUGCUGGAGGUUUGGAGGGGGGACUGGAAUUCUUGGUGUAGCAGUGAAAUGCGUAGAUAUCAAGAGGAACACCAGUGGCGAAGGCGGCAUCCUGGACCGGUAUUGACGCUGAGGCGCGAAAGCCAGGGGAGCAAACGGG